rnacentral:rRNA from 1 species
AACGAACGCUGGCGGCAUGCCUAACACAUGCAAGUCGAACGAGACCUUCGGGUCUAGUGGCGCACGGGUGCGUAACGCGUGGGAACCUGCCCUUAGGUUCGGAAUAACUCCCCGAAAGGGGUGCUAAUACCGGUUAAUGUCUUCGGACCAAAGAUUUAUCGCCUUUGGAUGGGUCCGCGUUGGAUUAGCUAGUUGGUAGGGUAAAAGCCUACCAAGGCGACGUUCCAUAGCUGGUCUGAGAGGAUGAUCAGCCACACUGGGACUGAGACACGGCCCAGACUCCUACGGGAGGCAGCAGUAGGGAAUAUUGGACAAUGGGCGAAAGCCUGAUCCAGCAAUGCCGCGUGAGUGAUGAAGGCCUUAGGGUUGUAAAGCUCUUUUACCCGGGAUGAUAAUGACAGUACCGGGAGAAUAAGCGCCGGCUAACUCCGUG